AAGUCUGUGCCAACGGCUAAAGUCAGUAGAAAGGAGCUCAACUCCAACCGCAACCGGGCAGACGAGACCUCAGAAAAAGAAUAGCAAGCAGCAAUUGAACACAUUUGUGAAGUACAAAAUGAAACAGACUUCAUGAACAAGCCAGUGAGGAGAAUUUGAAAGUAGAACAGAAAUAGAACAAACUCUGCCAAUCAUUUUUUCAGAAGAGGUCAGAAUUGAUCAUUGAUGGCCCAAAUCCCACAUUUUUGGGUAACAUCAUUUGUCAACCACCCACGAGUGUCUGCACUGCUUGUGGAGGAGGAUGAAGAGGCACUGCAUUAUAUGACCAGAGUUGAAGUGACAUAAUUUGAAGAUACUAAAUUAGGUUACAGAAUAGAUUUUUAUUUUGAUGAACAUCCUUACUUUGAAAAUAAACUCCUCUCCAAAGAAUUUCAUCUAAAUGAGAGUGGCGAUCCAUCUUCAAAGUCCACUGAAAUCAAAUGGAAAUCUUGAAAGGAUGUAACGAAUCGUUCAAGUCGAACGAAGAAUAAAGCCAGUAGGAAGAGGCAGCCUGAGGCACCAGAGAGCUUCUUGACCUGCUUUACUGACCAUUCUGAUGCAGGUGCUGGUGAGUUAUGAGAGGUCAUCACAGGUAGUACUUGGCCAAACCCAUAACAGUGCUGCUUGGUUCCCAAUGUGGAUGAUGAAGAAGAAGGAGAAGAACAAGAUGAUGAUGAUGAUGAAGAAGAGGAAGGAUUAUAAGAUAUUGAUGAAGAAGGGGAUGAGGAUGAAGGCGAAGAAGAGGAAGAUGAUGAUGACGUUGAGGAAGGAGAGGAGGAUGAAGGAGAAGAUG
rnacentral:lncRNA from 1 species